GACGAACGCUGGCGGCAUGCUUAACACAUGCAAGUCGAACGGAAAGGCCCUGCUUUUGUGGGGUGCUCGAGUGGCGAACGGGUGAGUAACACGUGAGUAACCUGCCCUUGACUUUGGGAUAACUUCAGGAAACUGGGGCUAAUACCGGAUAGGAGCUCCUGCUGCGUGGUGGGGGUUGGAAAGUUUCGGCGGUUGGGGAUGGACUCGCGGCUUAUCAGCUUGUUGGUGGGGUAGUGGCUUACCAAGGCUUUGACGGGUAGCCGGCCUGAGAGGGUGACCGGCCACAUUGGGACUGAGAUACGGCCCAGACUCCUACGGGAGGCAGCAGUGGGGAAUAUUGCACAAUGGGCGGAAGCCUGAUGCAGCAACGCCGCGUGCGGGAUGACGGCCUUCGGGUUGUAAACCGCUUUCGCCUGUGACGAAGCGUGAGUGACGGUAAUGGGUAAAGAAGCACCGGCUAACUACGUGCCAGCAGCCGCGGUGAUACGUAGGGUGCGAGCGUUGUCCGGGUUUAUUGGGCGUAAAGGGCUCGUAGGUGGUUGAUCGCGUCGGAAGUGUAAUCUUGGGGCUUAACCCUGAGCGUGCUUUCGAUACGGGUUGACUUGAGGAAGGUAGGGGAGAAUGGAAUUCCUGGUGGAGCGGUGGAAUGCGCAGAUAUCAGGAGGAACACCAGUGGCGAAGGCGGUUCUCUGGGCCUUUCCUGACGCUGAGGAGCGAAAGCGUGGGGAGCGAACAGGCUUAGAUACCCUGGUAGUCCACGCUGUAAACGGUGGGUACUAGGUGUGGGGUCCAUUCCACGGGUUCCGUGCCGUAGCUAACGCUUUAAGUACCCCGCCUGGGGAGUACGGCCGCAAGGCUAAAACUCUAAGGAAUUGACGGGGCCCCGCACAAGCGGCGGAGCAUGCGGAUUAAUUCGAUGCAACGCGUAGAACCUUACCUGGGUUUGACAUGGAUCGGGAGUGCUCAGAGAUGGGUGUGCCUCUUUUGGGGUCGGUUCACAGGUGGUGCAUGCCUGUCGUCAGCUCGUGUCGUGAGAUGUUGGGUUAAGUCCCGCAACGAGCGCAACCCUUGUUCACUGUUGCCAGCACGUUAUGGUGGGGACUCAGUGGAGACCGCCGGGGUCAACUCGGAGGAAGGUGGGGAUGACGUCAAGUCAUCAUGCCCCUUAUGUCCAGGGCUUCGCGCAUGCUACAAUGGCUGGUACAGAGAGUGGCGAGCCUGUGAGGGUGAGCGAAUCUCGGAAAGCCGGUCUCAGUUCGGAUUGGGGUCUGCAACUCGACCUCAUGAAGUCGGAGUCGCUAAUAAUCGCAGAUCAGCAACGCUGCGGUGAAUACGUUCCCGGG
rnacentral:rRNA from 1 species